GCCUAGUUAGCUUGGAGGGUAGCUCGUCUGCCUUGUAAGCAUUAGGUCGCGGGUUCGAUUCCCGAACGAGGCG
rfam:Asian citrus Psyllid, Diaphorina citri - Florida Strain, whole genome shotgun sequence.